GGAGUUUGGACAUCUUGUUUUUCUCUGCCUUUAAUUUUUUUUUAAAAAGGCCAAGAAGUAGAAGACAGGGCACUCUCUCACUCUGGGAUCAUGGCGAUAUGCAGAGCAAGGUCGCUGCUUUCUUUCUGCAAAUACAAAUCUACAUACACAGAUUUGUACUUUCGAUCUAUACCCUUAUGGAGAUACCAUUCUUCAGGAGUCUCAUCCCAGUUUGAGGAUGUUGGAUUCAUAGGGCUUGGAAAUAUGGGAUCCAGGAUGGCAAAGAAUCUAAUAAAAGCUGGAUACAGACUGAUUGUACAUGACAUAAACCGUGAUGUCAUGAAUAUGUUCUCCAACAUGGGAGCUUUCACAAAAGAAACACCAGCUGAAGUUGCAGAAGCUAGUGAUGUUGUACUUACAAUGUUGCCUUCAUCAUCUCAUGUGCUGGAUGUCUACACUGGGCCAAAUGGUUUGCUUUGUGGUGGGAAUAUCCUAAGGCCACGGUUAAUGAUAGAUUCUUCUACAAUUGACCCCCAAACAUCAAGAAAUCUUUCUGUGGCUGUAUCAAAUUGUACUUUAAAAGAAAUGAAAGGUAACUGGGAGAGACCUACAAUGUUGGAUGCUCCUGUUUCUGGAGGUGUCGUUGCAGCAGAUGCUGGUACACUUACUUUUAUGGUUGGUGGCUCUGAGGAUGCUUACAUGGCUGCCAAAUCUUUAUUACUCUCCAUGGGCAAAAACACAGUUUACUGUGGCAGAGCAGGAACUGGCUCGGCAGCAAAGGUUUGCAACAAUGUAGCAAUGGGUGUGAGUAUGAUUGGGGUGUCAGAAGCCCUUUCUCUUGGUCAGUCUCUGGGAAUUUCAGCCAGUACUUUGACCAAGAUAUUCAACUCUUCUAGUGCUCGCUGCUGGAGUAGUCCCUGGAGUGAUGGAAGGGGUGCCUUCUUCAAGGAAUUAUGAUGGCGGGUUUGCAUCCAAGCUCAUGGCUAAAGACCUAAAACUUGCAGCAAAAUCAGCGGAGGACGUCUCUCUAAAAUGCCCUUUGACAUCGCAAGCACUAGAUAUAUAUGAAGGGCUCUGCUCGAAUGGUCAUGAAAACGAGGACUUCUCCUGUGUCUUCCGCCACUAUUACUCCGGCAAGGAUGAGAUUUAGCUCAAUCUCUUGGAGUCAUUAUCACCCCUCAUUCCUGAUAGUUAUUCUCUGCUGAAUUAAACGACGGAUACCAGAUGAGUUGCAUCAUUUGUUAGCCUCAUGAGGAGAAGUCCUCACAAUUAGCUUUCUGUCACAAACCUCUGCAGUUUCCUGUGUAGUACAUUAGCCUGCUUAAACCUUUAGAAAUGCAAACUCUUUCCUUCCUCUAUUCAGGUAAAAAUAAUUUCCCCACAGCACAUUAUGAAGAACUGCAAGUAAAAUUAUCCUUUGCACUAUCUUUGCAUAAGUGCAUAGCCA